GCCAGCAUGGCAUAGUGGUCUGAGUGCUGGACUAUAACUCUGGAGACCAGGGUUGAAUUCCCAGCUCAGCCU
rnacentral:tRNA from 1 species